AUUUUUAUCUUGAAUUUUACCUGCUGCAUCUUGAUAUAUGGGUUAGUGUUGGGGGACUGAUAGAGAGUUGUUCUGUCAGCUCUACUUGAACUAACCUCAUUACUCUUGGAUUCUUCCCUAAGGCUGUUUCUACCCCAUUUUUACAACUAGAGCAACAUGAAGAGGCUGAAGUUUUGCAGAGACUUGCCUCUAUGACAUGAAUUGCUAAUUCAUCUUUGUAUGUGUGUGUUUCAGUAGCUGCUUUCCUCGUACAAGCAACUCACUGAGUUGUCCAAUUAGAUUGUCAGAAGGAGCAUUUUAUCAUUAAGAUGCUCUGUGUUCAAAUGUAUUUCACUGACUACUUAUGUACUGGUGACAAGCUACCAAAAAGAUGGGCAGAAGAUGAGAGACAUUUGUGGCUCAUCUAAUUACUAUGAUGUGAAUGGUGUACACUGCUUUUUUGCCAAGCUUGGCCAACCUCAUUGCCAUGGCACCCAGCGGACAAUUAAACCAGGUUCUCAGCUCCUGCUGGCCUCCACAGCAUUGCUUUAGGUUGCUCCAGAUACCACCACAGCCUGCCUUGAACCCCCUGGAGUCUGCUUCCCAGUAGCUGCUGGCAGAGGCCUGAAAAGUCUUGUGUGAGCACAUCACAACGAUGAACAUCUGACCUGUGGCAAACUCCUUGCUAGCUGCAACCAGGGUGCUGGUUAGGCAUUCCAGUCCCUGUUCUGCUGAGUCAGUUCCAAGAUGCGAGGGACACUUCCCUUUCCUUCCUCUUGUCCUCUCCAAGUCAGUAACAGUUCCAGGAGCAGAGGACAGUUUCAGCCUGGAUCAACUGCUGAGGUUUUUUUACCUUUGUAUUUUACUUCCUUUCAUGUGAUGCUGAUCCCAGACACGAGCCCAAGUUAAACAUUCCUGUCUUCUUUUUUUUUAAUGCUUUACGUAAAAGAUUCAGGUCUGUGAGGUUCUUCUGGAAAGUCGAAAGUUCCUUCUCCUUUUGGCUUUGCAAACAUGAAUUUUGAUCAUAAGAUACUCCUGGUGUGAACAGUAGCAUACAUCCGACUGCAGAAUUCAGGUACAAAACAAUAGCCACGGCAAUAAUUAAAACACAUGUUGGUCUUGCAUGGUAGACAAAAUCACACCUGAUACUUCUGAUCUGUAAUUCAAUUUUGGGAGUUCUGCAAAGGUUGAAAUGUGCUCUACUCAUUGAAAUGACAAGACUGAACUACAUUAGGAUACUAUUAUGAUGGAACAAUGUUUUCCAGAGCAGUUGAUUUAAAAUAGGUCUGUCUUCAAAGGAUCUGCAAAUUUAUUUUCUAAGUUAGAGAUGCUCUAACAAAUCAAAUAAAGACAAGUGUAUAUCUAAAUACUAGAAAUUAAGUCUUUAUUGUUGUACUUAAUAAUGUGUAUAUAUUAGAUUAUUUGAACAAUUAUCUCAAAUUAUUUGUUUUACAUGCUUAUUAUUUUAUUCCUUUACUAUUAAAAAUCACCAUUUCUAGAUACAAGUAUAACCUUAGUGGUUAAACUGAAAUACUAUGCAUCUGACUGCUCAUGAAAUAGUACCUCUAGUAAAUCAUAUUAAUGAACAUAUCAACAGUACAGAAACAUUCUUUUUCUCUCUAUUUGAAUAGUUUAGUCACCAAAUUAUUCAAUGGACCAAAAUGUAUUUCUGUGACAAAAUGGAUUAAACUCAUAAAGCUCUAAGAAACGCUUAUCUUGCCUGUCAUCUCUCUCCGGUCACCCAGUUGGACAAAUGGGGCUCAUAGUUACUUGCCUCCUCUCUAGCUCAUUUGCCCAAGGCAGCAAACCAGAGGAACUACAGCAUCAAGAUGGGAAAACUGGGCUUGGGCUACCGAAGCACAUCCAUCACCUGAGCAAAGUGAAGAAAUCAAGUAGAGAUAGAAGGUAACAUACCCUUGGGAGGUGAUCUAAAACAAAUAUUUAAGUGUGCUUUGUAAAGAAGAAUCUUAGUCUGAUUUUUAAGUGGUUAAAAGAUAAACUCCGAGUGCUCCCUCCCAUCAGUGUGAGAAGAGGAAGGAUUUUACUGUACCAUGACCUAAGAUGAAUGGUAACA